AAAGCAGGUUGCAAUUACGGUGCUUCAUUUUGUGGAAGUACUGCCAUUACCCUGCUAAAAGAAAAGGCUGUGUUGGUUGGUUUUGAUUUUGCCUUUAUGAGGGUAAAAUCAUGACAGAUUGGCAUGGACAGUU